rnacentral:rRNA from 1 species
GACAGAGGUGCCGAGCGUUAGGCGGAAUCACUGGGCUUAAAGCGUGUGUAGGCGGACCGUUAAGUACCUUGUGAAAUCCCCCGGCUCAACCGGGGAACGGCUGGGUAUACUGGCGGCCUUGAGCCAUCCAGGGGCAGUCGGAACAGACGGUGGAGCGGUGAAAUGCGUAGAUAUCGUCUGGAACGCCGAAGGUGAAAACAGCUCGCUGGGAUUGUGCUGACGCUGAGACACGAAAGCCAGGGGAGCGAACGGG